rnacentral:rRNA from 1 species
AGAGUUUGAUCAUGGCUCAGGACGAACGCUGGCGGCAUGCCUAAUACAUGCAAGUCGAACGCUGAAGCACUCUGCUUGCAGAGUGCGGAUGAGUGGCGAACGGGUGAGUAACACGUGGGGAAUCUGCCUAUAAGUGGGGGAUAACAUUCGGAAACGGAUGCUAAUACCGCAUAUAUUCUUGGACCGCCUGGUCCUUGAAAGAAAGACGGCUUUGCUGUCGCUUAUAGAUGAUCCCGCGGCGUAUUAGUUAGUUGGUGGGGUAAAGGCCUACCAAGACAAUGAUACGUAGCCGACCUGAGAGGGUGAUCGGCCACACUGGGACUGAGACACGGCCCAGACUCCUACGGGAGGCAGCAGUAAGGAAUCUUCCACAAUGGGCGAAAGCCUGAUGGAGCAAUGCCGCGUGAAUGAAGAAGGUCUUCGGAUCGUAAAGUUCUGUUAUUAGAGAAGAACAAGUCAAGGAGUAACUGUCUUGACUUUGACGGACCUAACCAGAAA